CAGCACAGCACGGGACUUUAGUGAAAACAAUCUCGUUAAGGAGGCCAAUACGGCACUUAGAAGAGUGCAAUAUUCAUUGCUUGGGUCAACUUUGGCACAAAAAUACCCGGACAUGCUUUGGGACCGACCGAAACCUGGGACCAAGCUCUCAACGAGACGUCUCUGGAGUGUAUUCAUGUGCCGGUUAACAGCGAGGCGAAAGAUG